GACGAACGCUGGCGGCGUGCCUAAUACAUGCAAGUCGAACGCAGUGGGGACGGGUGAUUAACACCUGGGUAACCUCCCCUCAGACGGGAUAACACUUGGAAACAGGUGCUAAACCGAUACUGAUUGAUGGACCCGCGGGGCAUUAGCUAGUGGGUGAGGUAACGGCUCACCAAGGCCACGAGGCAUAGCCGGCCUGAGAGGGGGAUCGGCCACACUGGGACUGAGACACGGCCCAGAGUCCGACGGGAGGCAGCAGUAGGGAAUCUUCGGCAAUGGACGAAAGUCUGACCGAGCAACGCCGCGUGAGUGAAGAAGGUUUUCGGAUCGUAAAACUCUGUUGUUAGAGAAGCGGUAUCUAACCAGAAAGCCACGGCUAACUACGUGCCAGCAGCCGCGGUAAUAC
rnacentral:rRNA from 1 species